AAAAGCUACCCCAACUUUUCCCCUCUCACCGCGCCGAUGGAAUCAGACGCCGAGGAGGAGGCCGUGGCGACCCCGGCGCCGGCGGCUGGGCCGGCCGCGGGGCGGCUGAAGGGAAGCCCGGAGCUGACUGUGGACGCGGACAUGCGGGAGAUGGCGAAGACGGGCGCGUGGAGCGUCAGCUCCUGCAAGGCCGGCAACGGCGUCGCGGCCCUCCGCGACGACAACCUAGACACCUACUGGCAGUCGGACGGCGCGCAGCCGCACCUGGUGAACAUCCAGUUCCAGAAGAAGGUGCAGCUGCAGCUUGUUGUGCUCUACGUGGAUUUCAAGCUAGACGAGAGCUACACGCCGAGCAAGAUCUCCAUCCGGGCCGGGGAUGGCUUCCACAACCUCAAGGAAAUUAAAACUGUGGAGCUUGCAAAGCCAGUUGGUUGGGUCCAUAUAUCAUUAUCUGGGGCUGAUCCACGAGAAACAUUCAUUCAUACAUUUAUGCUCCAAAUUGCGAUUUUGUCCAAUCACCUAAACGGGCGGGACACUCAUAUCCGACAGAUCAAGAUCUAUGGGCCAAGACCGUAAGUGGAUACCAUACAAGCACCCACCUACCUGUGUAUUAAUGUUUAGUAAUACGAGAAUCCUGUUCCCCACCAGCCAUUUCAUUUCACUUCCAGGGAGUUCAUCACAUACUCCACCAUUAGAUGACAAUCAGCAAACCUAGUUGUCUGUAAUCCUCCAUGCUGGAGUUGCCUGCUGAAGAUUGGAGAGAGCUUAUACAGUUCAGAGUUAAGGUUUGCAAGCGCAAGCUUUGAUCAGUGCAGGUAGGAUUCAACACUUUAAGCAUCUGUCGAAGCCCUAGUUGCCCCUUCAAGCCUCAACUGGAGAACUGACAUUUUCUGUACGAAUUAACAAUUUGUAUCCAUGAAUGUAUAACAUUAUUCACCUUCAUGUGCAUGAGAGCUUCUCUGGGAGAAUAUCGUCCUGGGAACUCCGUUGCACCUUUUUAACUACUUCUAACACCUACCUGAUUCAUUUGAUAUAGAUUAUUUAUGAUGAUCUUUUUAAGCGAAA